UGGGGAAUAUUGCACAAUGGGCGAAAGCCUGAUGCAGCAACGCCGCGUGAGUGAUGAAGGCCUUCGGGUUGUAAAGCUCUGUCUUUUGGGACGAUAAUGACGGUACCAAAGGAGGAAGCCACGGCUAACUACGUGCCAGCAGCCGCGGUAAUACGUAGGUGGCAAGCGUUGUCCGGAUUUACUGGGCGUAAAGGAUGCGUAGGCGGAUUUUUAAGUGAGAUGUGAAAUACCCGGGCUUAACUUGGGUGCUGCAUUUCAAACUGGGAAUCUAGAGUGCGGGAGAGGAGAAUGGAAUUCCUAGUGUAGCGGUGAAAUGCGUAGAAAUUAGGAGGAACACCAGUGGCGAAGGCGAUUCUCUGGACCGUAACUGACGCUGAGGCAUGAAAGCGUGGGUAGCAAACAGGAUUAGAUACCCUGGUAGUCCACGCCGUAAACGAUGAGUACUAGGUGUAGGAGGUAUCGACCCCUUCUGUGCCGCAGUUAACACAAUCAAGUACUCCGCCUGGGAAGUACGAUCGCAAGAUU
rnacentral:rRNA from 1 species